CCUACGGGUGGCAGCAGUGGGGAAUAUUGGACAAUGGGGGCAACCCUGAUCCAGCCAUGCCGCGUGUGUGAAGAAGGCCCUCGGGUUGUAAAGCACUUUCAGUGAGGAAGAACGCCUGGUGGUUAAUACCCAGCAGGAAAGACAUCACUCACAGAAGAAGCACCGGCUAACUCCGUGCCAGCAGCCGCGGUAAUACGGAGGGUGCGAGCGUUAAUCGGAAUUACGGGGCGUAAAGCGCGCGUAGGUGGCUUGAUAAGCCGGUUGUGAAAGCCCCGGGCUCAACCUGGGAACGGCAUCCGGAACUGUCAAGCUAGAGUGCAGGAGAGGAAGGUAGAAUUCCCGGUGUAGCGGUGAAAUGCGUAGAGAUCGGGAGGAAUACCAGUGGCGAAGGCGGCCUUCUGGACUGACACUGACACUGAGGUGCGAAAGCGUGGGUAGCAAACAGGAUUAGAUACCCCAGUAGUC
rnacentral:rRNA from 1 species